rnacentral:rRNA from 1 species
UUGUUUGCUUUGGCUCCGGUCAGGGUGGCGGCAGCGGAACUACCCCGUGCAUCAAACUGUCCGCUCUAACAGGCCGAAGCGGUUCCCUGUGAAUAGAUUCCUUAAUUGGGGUUGAAAGCGCCUGCGCAUCAACCACGUGCAUACGGGACGUCGGCCAAUGUUGCUGUGAACAAACCAGCGUGUCCAAAGCAGGCUUGCCUGAAUGUUCGAGCAUGGAAUAACAAGGGAUCGAAUAUAUCGGUUCUUUUUGUUGGUUUUUAACCCGAGAAGGAGUAAUGCAGGCCACGGUGUCUGAGGUGGGUUUCCCUAGGCUUCGGUUUAGGCUCCAUCUAGGCCGUGCCCUUACGGGAUCAAUAGGGACUGACGGGAUCGUACCUACUUCCGCGUCAGAGGUGGAAUUCUUAGAUCGCGGGAAGAUGAACUUCUGCGAAAGCAUUCGACAAGAAUGUCUUCAUUAAUCAAGAACGAGAGUGUGGGGAUCGAAGAUGAUCAGAUACCGUCGUGGUCCACACUGUAAACAAUGCCGUCUCAGGAUUGAGAAGUGAACAUAAUGACUUUCACAGCACUAACCCCUGAAACGAGAAAUCAAAGAUUAUGAGUUCAGGGGGGAGUACAUUCGCAAGGCUGAAACUUAAAGGAAUUUACGGAAUGACAUCACAAGGCGUGGAGUAU